rnacentral:rRNA from 1 species
CCCUUAGAUGUCCUGGGCCGCACGCGCGCUACACUGAACGGAUCAGCGCGUUUUCCCUUCCCGAGAGGGACGGGUAACCUGCUGAACCCCGUUCGUGGUAGGGAUCGGGGCUUGCAAUUAUUCCCCGUGAACCAGGAAUGCCCAGUAAGUGCAAGUCAUAAGCUUGCGUUGAUUACGUCCCUGCCCUUUGUACACACCGCCCGUCGCUACUACCGAUUGAACGUUUUAGUGGGGUACUCGGACUGAGCCUCAGAAGAUUCACGUCUUUUGUGCUGCUCGGGAAGAUUCCCAAACUUGAGCGUUUAGAGGAAGUAAAAGUCGUAACA